rnacentral:rRNA from 1 species
CCUACGGGAGGCAGCAGUGGGGAAUAUUGGACAAUGGGGGCAACCCUGAUCCAGCCAUGCCGCGUGUGUGAAGAAGGCCCUCGGGUUGUAAAGCACUUUCAGUGAGGAAGAACGCCUGGUGGUUAAUACCCAUCAGGAAAGACAUCACUCACAGAAGAAGCACCGGCUAACUCCGUGCCAGCAGCCGCGGUAAUACGGAGGGUGCGAGCGUUAAUCGGAAUUACUGGGCGUAGCGCGCGUAGGUGGCUUGAUAAGCCGGUUGUGAAAGCCCCGGGCUCAACCUGGGAACGGCAUCCGGAACUGUCAAGCUAGAGUGCAGGAGAGGAAGGUAGAAUUCCCGGUGUAGCGGUGAAAUGCGUAGAGAUCGGGAGGAAUACCAGUGGCGAAGGCGGCCUUCUGGACUGACACUGACACUGAGGUGCGAAAGCGUGGGUAGCAAACAGGAUUAGAUACCCCAGUAGUC